AAUUCAACCAUAAACCGUUUAGUCUCCGGGAUGGAGAGAGAUGGGAGAGGGGCAUGGCGCCAGAAAAUUAUUGCCCUUAAAGCUACGCCCCCUCAUGGACCCGGAAAGAGAACACAUUCCUUCAAGACCACAGGGGCAAAUACGUAGGAUGGAUAAGGGCUGGUGUCAGAGGAGGCUGAGUUGGGUACCAAGACAUUCAUUCUCUCCAGGUUGUUACAAGGACCCUCACAUGGUAUUAACGAAGACCAAAUGAAUUUUCUUAGCUGUUCUUGGAAGGCACUCAAAUAUACCAGUCUAGAGCGUCAGUCUGGAAACCAGCUCACCUCCAUCAUUUCCGGAUGUUU